GCCCCUUUGCUCCUGUAAUGUGCCACGUGGACACCUUGCUUGGCUUUCUUUUUAAUUUUUUAUUUUCUAAUUUUCUAAAACCUGUUUCUUUUUUCCUAAAGCCUAUCAGUUCACGUGAACACAACAAUUCCAAUUAAUACCUUUUGCAAAUAUAUUUGAUAUAUCUUUCUUGGAAACAGAGAUAUGAUCUUUCCCCUAUACCCACUCUAAUGUCUUUUCAAAUCCUUUCACUUUCUUUUUUUCGUUUCCUUCAACCUGUCCAACGGGAGCUCAUUUUCUAACCCUUUUCCAUCUUCAACAUAUUCCUCCGUCUUCAACCUUCCUUUCCUCCCUCUACGCCUUCAACCUCCCGCCGUCUUCAACCUUCUUCGUUCUUCCUUUUUUUUUUCUUUUGUCUUCUACGACAUGACUUUAUGAUUUCAAAAAUAAAUCUACAUUUGUAAUUAACAAUAUUGCUAACGAAACCCUAGCCGAAGGCAAAAGAACGGCUUGAAGUCUUCCUACAGAUGUCAGUUUGCUUUCGUCGCAUUUCUGACCGGCAUCCACCGUUUGGGGUCUAAAUAAUCCACAUCUGCUGAUUCAAUGGUUAUUACGGAGAGGUUGUCCAAGGAAGAAAUUGGUUGUUUAAAAGAGUGUAGAUUUCAAAUUUGGAGUGGCAUGCCCUUUUGAUUGAUAACUCAAAUAACAGGUAAUAGUUAGUUUGGAGUAAGUUUGUAAGUUUUAAUUUUAAGCUAUAUUUGAUUGAAUUCUUUAAGGGCUAAUGUGUUAGUUUAUUUUACACUUUCUUAAUUGCAUGCAUGGUGUUUGAUAAGAUGUCUCAGCAAAGAAGAAAAGGAGUCGGUGAACGGGAAUAUGGCAACUUAUUUCUUUAUUUCACAGGUUUUAACAAAUGCAGUAAUUUUGGUAUGUUAGUAUUACUCUUCUGUUCACUGAUGUUAUUAUUUUUCCACUAUCUUUUUGUUAUACGUCGAUUUUGCUGCUGUUCUUUGGUUUCACGGUAGUUGAAAUGAGCAUCAAGCACGCGUACGCAUCGACGGAAACAAGGGGAGGUUGUUUAUAAAGUGUGAAUGAAUGCAGUUAGACAAUGGUGAUAUCAUAUGCUUUCAUAAAGCUUCUGCAAUGGGUAACGGGAGAAAUUAGAUAUACUGAUAAAGCUUCAUUGGUUACAAGAUUGGUCAAAACUUUCUCGAUGUAUGCAUAGGUUCGAGUGAUGGAAUUGUCUGUGUAUGAGAGGUUGAAACAGGCCGAUGUUUGAAACGGUGGGAGGUUGGCAAAGCUGUGUUGCUUGGAAUCCUCUUUCCGAUUUACAUAUAUUAGCUUUUCCUGAACACAUAAGAAAUUCAUGAAAUUAUGGAGUACUAGCAGCACAUCAGUUGCAGCAACCAAUGUGUAUGUUUGCUGAAGGUUACAAAUUACAUUGACUGCCAAUUGCUUUGAUAAAAAUUAAAACUGGGUCUUAUACUCUUUAGGAAUCUAUAUUUAGUUAUUUGUUAUUCUCGCUACUUUUGGUACAGAUAGGUGUGUUGUUUUAUUAAUGUCUCAUAGCAAGAGUUUGUCGACAGUUUAUCAACAAAUAAGAUCUCUGGUGUUGAUCCAUUAUUGACAAUCCAAUAGAAUUAAAUUGAAACGGCUUCUUUUUAAGCAUUUUGUUUGAUAUCUGCUCUGUGUGCAAUUCAGCGUCAAUUGCUAUAGGCUGUAGCCGUAGUGUCCUAAAUUCCAAUUGCAGAAAUAUAUCGUAGCAUCCAUACUUUAUUCAGAACUAUAUCAUUGCAUUGGUCACAAAACUUAAAACUGUGUUGACUAUAUAUGGACAACAUUAGGAUACUGUGUGUUUCUUUGUUGGAAAAAGUUGUAAAUAGAAAUUGGCCUUAAUGAUCAAUGAUGUGAAGCAUAAGAAACAUAAGAGUUUACCUAAAUUUAUGUGUUUUGAACCAUUCCUCAUCAUUGGCUUUAAUGAUGAAUAUCAUGCUUAAUAUCACAAUAACAAACAUCAUAUACAUUUAUGUAGCUUGAAAUUAUGAUGCAUAACAAGGCUGGAUUGUUGGUUCUUUGGCAGGAAGCUGUAGGUUUUAUAAAACAUCAGGAUGCACUUCAAAUUUCAA